UGGGGAAUAUUGGACAAUGGGCGAAAGCCUGAUCCAGCCAUGCCGCGUGUGUGAAGAAGGUCUUCGGAUUGUAAAGCACUUUAAGUUGGGAGGAAGGGCAGUAAGCGAAUACCUUGCUGUUUUGACGUUACCGACAGAAUAAGCACCGGCUAACUCUGUGCCAGCAGCCGCGGUAAUACAGAGGGUGCAAGCGUUAAUCGGAAUUACUGGGCAUAAAGCGCGCGUAGGUGGUUCGUUAAGUUGAAUGUGAAAGCCCCGGGCUCAACCUGGGAACUGCAUCCAAAACUGGCGAGCUAGAGUAGGGCAGAGGGUGGUGGAAUUUCCUGUGUAGCGGUGAAAUGCGUAGAUAUAGGAAGGAACACCAGUGGCGAAGGCGACCACCUGGGCUCAUACUGACACUGAGGUGCGAAAGCGUGGGGAGCAAACAGG
rnacentral:rRNA from 1 species